rnacentral:rRNA from 2 species
UACGUAGGGUCCGAGCGUUGUCCGGAAUUACUGGGCGUAAAGCGUGCGCAGGCGGCCCGUGAGGUGUCACGUGAAAGCCCCGGGCUCAACCCGGGAGGGUCGUGGCAAACCGGCGGGCUUGAGGCCGGUAGAGGUGGGUGGAACUCCUGGUGGAGUGGUGAAAUGCGUAGAGAUCAGGAAGAACACCCGUGGCGAAGGCGGCCCACUGGGCCGGUACUGACGCUGAGGCACGAAGGCGUGGGGAGCGAACGGG